rnacentral:rRNA from 1 species
CGGCAACAGCUCAAAUUUGAAAUCUGGCCCUCGGGUCCGAGUUGUAAUUUGUAGAGGAUGCUUUUGGCGCGGUGCCUUCCGAGUUCCCUGGAACGGGACGCCAUAGAGGGUGAGAGCCCCGUCUGGUCGGACACCAAGCCUCUGUAAAGCUCCUUCGACGAGUCGAGUAGUUUGGGAAUGCUGCUCUAAAUGGGAGGUAUAUGUCUUCUAAAGCUAAAUACCGGCCAGAGACCGAUAGCGCACAAGUAGAGUGAUCGAAAGAUGAAAAGCACUUUGAAAAGAGAGUUAAACAGUACGUGAAAUUGUUGAAAGGGAAGCGCUCAUGACCAGACUUGCGCCCGUUUGAUCAACCUGGGUUCUCCCGGGUGCACUCUCUCGGGCGCAGGCCAGCAUCAGUUCGUCGCGGGGGACAAAGGCUUCGGGAAUGUGGCACCCUCCGGGGUGUGUUAUAGACCGUCGCGCAAUACCCCGCCUCGGACUGAGGUUCGCGCAUUCGUGCAAGGAUGCUGGCGUAAUGGUCAUCAGUGACCCGUCUUGAAACACGGACCAAGGAGUCGUCUUCGUAUGCGAGUGUUCGGGUGUCAAACCCCUACGCGGAAUGAAAGUGAACGCAGGUGAGAGCUUCGGCGCAUCAUCGACCGAUCCUGAUGUUCUCGGAUGGAUUUGAGUAAGAGCAUACGGAGCCGGACCCGAAAGAAGGUGAACUAUGCCUGUGUAGGGUGAAGCCAGAGGAAACUCUGGUGGAGGCUCGCAGCGGUUCUGACGUGCAAAUCGAUCGUCAAACAUGGGCAUGGGGGCGAA